AAAUAUGAAGUAAACUAUAUAUACAUA
rnacentral:sRNA from 1 species